GCUUUCCUUGGAAAAAAAAAAUAAAACAAAAAUGAAAGUUUUAUAAAAAGACAGCCUGGAUCAAUAGUGUGAUUAUCUUUUAAAACACACAACGAAGGAGACUUUUCUGCAUCAAUGGUAAACUCUUACACUGCUGCUAAAGUAUUUCUAAGAUCACAUUUUAGGUCAAGUCAGACUACGCCCCAGUAUACUAAGUUAAGCUGGUGCAUAGAACUCUGCAAGGUCAGUACUUCAGUUGUUAGGGGUUGCAGUCAAGACAGCAAACAGAGAGGAGAGGAGAGGAAAAGUAUGAAUUAGGGCACAGCUUUCAAAGUUAUUCAGUGAUGCAGCUGAUGUAAUGCAGCUGAACAACCUGAUGACUUCCUGUGGGCAUUAAGGGCCUGGGAGAGGUGUCUGAAUAACCUGGAGGAAAAGUCACUGUCAGCAGGGCCUGUCAGGUGUUUUGUUUUUGUCUUUGAUUGUUUGUUUGUUUUAAAUUAAUGCUAAAUCACAAUCAAUUAUGUCAAGCUCACAACUGGGUGAAAAUGAUGAUCAGCCUCUCCCAGAAAAGGGUAGGACACACAAUGGGGAGAGAGCAUGAGGCAGGGGCUGUUCAAAAUAGGUACAGACCUGGAACAUCAAUUUGCCAAGUUAUUUGCAGAGGUCACUCUGAAGCAUGUUGCCCUCCUGUGCUGUGUAAACCUGCAAAAAAGCAGAGCAGGCCAUGUUACAGUGCUGAGGCACUAUAGGCACUAAGGCCCUGAGGCUGCACUGCAGGCAGCAUAAAACCACUCUCCAUUCUUCUUUUUCUAUGUAAUAACUCCAUAUUUCUCUUUCUAUGUAAUAACUCAUGCUUCUUUAAAGUAUUUAUAUAUUAAAAGAAACUCAUCUGAACUAUGAUUGCUCUGUUCCCCUAUUCCAUUUUAUUUAGAACCACUCAAGAUUUAUCAAAUUAUGGCUGAAAUUCUCAGCUGACUAUUCAUUGCAUCACAUAUUUCAUGUGCAUGGAUCUGCAAUACGCAGAUGCAGUGGUCUAGAUUUUAUCUGCUUUAUAUUCACAUCUUCUCCCAUAGAUCCCCUCACACUGCUGAAUUUUGCUGCCA
rnacentral:lncRNA from 1 species